UUAAAUAGCCGCAGUAUACUAACUGUGCAAAGGUAGCAUAAUCAUUUGUCUUUUAAUUGGAGGCUUGUAUGAAUGGUUGGAUGAGGGAAUUACUUUCUUUAUAUUAAAGUUUGAAUUUAAUAUUUUAGUUAAAAAGCUAAAAUAUAUAAGUGGGACGAGAAGACCCUGUAGAAUUUUAUUUAUAUAAGAUUUUAAUAAUUUGGAAAUUAUUUAUUAAAAUAGACAUUAUAAAUUUUGUUGGGGUGACAGUGGGAAUUUAAUAACUCCCAUAAUAUAAUGAUUAUUAAUUUGUAUAUUUAAGAUCCCAUAUUAUGGAUACUUAGUUUAAAUUACCUCAGGGAUAACAGCGUUAUUUCUUCGGAGAGUUCUUAUUGAUGAAGAAGUUUGCGACCUCGAUGUUGGAUUAAAAUUAGGAUUAAGUGCAGCAGCUUAAUUUCUAGGUCUGUUCGACCUUUAAAAUUUUACAUGAUCUGAGUUCAAACCG
rnacentral:rRNA from 1 species